rnacentral:rRNA from 1 species
UACGUAGGGGGCAAGCGUUGUCCGGAAUCAUUGGGCGUAAAGAGCGUGUAGGCGGUCCACCAAGUUUGGGGUGACAGUUGCCGACUUAAUCGGCAAAGUGCCUCAAAGACUGGCGGACUUGAGGGCCACAGAGGGACAUGGAACUCCAGGUGUAGUGGUGAAAUGCGUAGAUAUCUGGAAGAACACCAAAGGCGAAGGCAGUGUCCUGGGUGGUCGCUGACGCUGAGAGGCGAAAGCCAGGGGAGCGAACGGG